rnacentral:lncRNA from 1 species
CGCUCCGGUCCCCUUCCACAGUGUGAAGGCUUCGUUCUUUUGCUCUUUGCAAUAAAUCUUGCUAUUGCUCACUCUGGGUGCACACUGCUUUUAAGAUCUGUAACUCUCACCGUGAAGAUCUGCAGCUUCACUCCUGAGGCCAGCAAAACCACGAGCCCACCGGGAGGAACGAACAACUCCAGAUGCACUGCCUUAAGAGUGGUAACGCCCACCGCAAAGGUCUGCAGCUUCAAUCCUGAGCCAGGGAGAUCAUGAACCCACCAGAAGGAAGAAACUCUGAACACAUCUGAAAGUCAGAAGACACAGACUCCAGAUGUGCCACUUUAAGAGCUGUUAACUACGAGGGUCUGUGGCUUCAUUCUUGAAGUCAGUGAGACCAAGAACCCACCAAUUCCAGACGCAGUAU